rnacentral:lncRNA from 1 species
AAAUAUGUAUUUUUAAAACUAUUUCGAGUGUGAUUAAAAAUACACAAUUAAUUUAUCUAAAACGAACUGAUGUAAUAUUCACAGAUCUCGAUUGUGACUAAGUUCAAUCGGUCUAUUGCCAUAAGGCAGUGUGCUAGUAUCUUUAAACCAGCAAUCCCUCCCCUCCUCCUUCGUCGCUCUCUUUUUCUUUAACCAAAAUUCUAAUUCAAAUUUCAGUAGUCCUAAUUAUUCAUUCUAAUUUUUUAUUUCAAUAUUAAAUUAAAUAUUUUUAUAUAAUUUGUCCUUCUAUUUUUGCAUUAUAAUCACCAAUCAAACAUUUAAAUGUUUUAGGUCCAUAGGCCUGUUUUGGGUUGCAAACAGGUGCAUUAAAUACAAAAAGUAUGAUGAUAAAAUAUUUCCUUUGCCUUUAUAAGUGAUAAUACAUAUAUAUAUAUAGAGAGAGAGAGAGAGAGUCCGGCUACUGUACUCUUAUGAGUACUAUCACUCUCGUAUUUAUAAGUUAUUUUCGAUGAUAGAGCUUCCGAAUCGACGAUCCAUACUGUUAAAUAUUUUUUAGAGCAUUUAAAACUUUCAGAAAUCAAAUUUCAUAAUUUUUCAAUAUCAUUUACCUUACGAUCAAACGCUCACAAAAUUGAUAAUUUUUAACGGCCGGUAUGGAAUACUUGCCAGUUUAACGGUGCAAAAAAAUCGGAAUAGAUUGAAUUUUUGAUAGAAAAUUUUAUUCACUACCUAGAUAAUGACCAAUAACUCCGAUCUUAAAUUGAAGGAUUCGAUCAUCCUUUUUUAGGACGUCGAUCGAUUUUGACCGUUCAUUUUAUACAUAUUUGAUGGACUCUAUUAUGAUUUUGAAAAAUUACGAAAUUUAUUUUCUACAAGUUUCAAAUACUCUAGAUCAUAUUUAACGGAGUGGAUCGUCGAUUCGGAAGCUUCAUCAUCGAAAACAACUUAUGAGUACGAAGGGCCCAAUACUCAUAAGAGUAUAGUAGCCCUACUAUAUAUAUAUAU